UUUUCGUUUAUAUUCCAAGUUUAUCCUUCUUUUGCUUCAGGGUAAUGUCGAUUACAUGACUGGAUUUAUACGGUAUAUUGUUUUGGCAUCUUGUUUCUGCUUCAAGCUUCGUGUUUAUCUUAUUAUUUAUGAGAUCUCAUCGGUUAUUCUAUCAAUGUGCGUUGAUUCUGACAAAUAUUUCUUCUGCUUUAGGGUGAUGUCGAUUACAUCACUGGAUGUUUUAUGGUUUAUUAUUUUGGCAUCUUGUUUCUGCUUCAAGCUUCGUCUUUAUCUUAUUAUUGAUCAGAUCUCAUCGGUUAGCCUAUCAAUGUGCUGUGAUUCUGGCAAUAUUCUUCCCUUCUAUAUUUCAGCUGAUACUUCAGCAGAGAUUGUAAUGGCAUGGUGGUGGUUUCAUAGAUCCUUAGUAAGUUGGUAUAGGGGCUCUGCUUAUGAAUUUUCACUUUUUUUGGUAUGUUCCGAAUUUGUGACAUAUUUAGGUUUUCCACGAGACUGUUCUGGGUUGGAUGUUCGGGUUGUUUCCACUGCUUCAGGUUCUUCUUCUCUCUGUCUGUCUCUGGAGGGCUUCUUUUUUGAAUGUGGAUUGCGGAGUCGAGUUUGGUUUGGUCAGAGAAAAUAGGAUUGUUCUUGGUACUGUUUUUUUUGGUUGCAAAUCUAUGCCCCCUUGAUUUUUGAGAAGGCGUUAUGUAGGACUAUAGCUCAAUUCUGCUAAUGCAGGCUCUCGUCAUUUAUCAAUAGCUGGUUCUGGUCGGAGAUGUUAUUCCCCUUGUGCUCAUCUAUGGGUCUUUCUCAGAGUUGGGAGUGCACAUCAUGUUAAAUUUCUUACCCCUUCUCUUGAAGCAUGGUUUCUUUUGGUUUUACUUGCUGCUAAUAUAUUGACCUACAACCUACAUGGUCUAGAAAUAUGAUGUAGUGGUAGUUAGGGGUGCUUUGAGUUAGGUGAAUUUGUUUUGGGUUGGUGGUUUAGGGAUCUUGAUAGAAGGUGCCUGUAAGUGUAGCCUGUAGGAGGUGUCUUUAAUACCUGUAUUCUUCAUAGAUCUGUUUCGCUUGCAGAUUAUUGGUGUUUCUCCGCUGGGUGAUAUGUGAUAUUGAAAUAAGCGGUGGCUUACCUUGAGAAUAUAAGGGCGGUUGUGAAUUUUAUUUAUAAUUUUGCUGUUUGCCUUGCAACUUCUAGUUGGUGACACGGUAUACUUUCUAGUUGAUGCUGUGAUGCGUUGUACUCUGUAUGGUAGAGAAGCUUUAAGCAAUCCUAUACCGUGAUUUGAAGAGCCCUCGAUCUCUUUUGACAUUUUAGUGGCAAGAUGAUGGAGUUUGAGAGGUCUUGUACUAAUUUUAGAGGGAGUCGUCUGUCCAUCAUGUUGUUUUUUGGAGAUAUGCACUAUUUUUUAGAAGAACUUAAGCUUUUCAGUUGAUCUCCAUGCUUUUCCCUCUGCUAAGUUCAUCUCAAUGCUUUUGGUUAUAGAUUUUUGAGGUGGUCAAGCGAUAUUCGCUACAAUAUCCUUUGACAUAAAGAGUGGUGAUACAGAGCUUCAACAAUGAUGAAUAAGGGAAUGUCGUGAUGUUCAAUUGGCAUACUUCAGGCUCAUGCUUUCAUCUGGUGGUUCUUGGACAACUGAGCAGUUUUCCUGAGUUCUCUUUUUUUCCGGAUGGAGGUAUUCUAUCUCUUACAUAGAAAAUAAGUUUCUUGAUAUUUUGAAUCUCAAUUGUGUUCAUGUCGGAAGGAGCGUCCGUGUAGUCGUCUUAUUUUUAGUACGGUAAUGUUUUCUCACGGAAUUUUUAUCAUAUCUUUUUGGUGGUCUUUUAUCUUCUGUCAUUCGUUGGUGCAAUGUGUUCCUUAUGGUGGGUAUAGAAUAGUUUAACUGCAAUGUAGAUAUGGCUUGUGUUGAUGUUUUUGGAAAACCACAGAUACACAGUGCUGAAGAGAUAUGACAGAUCUGCCCAAUCACAGGGCAUCUUGUUUCACACUUUUAUCUUUCGAAGAUCAGAAAGAUCUGUUGUGGCUUGUCUGGUAGAUCUCAGACUUCAGUCUUUUAUUUUGGCAAACGAUUAGUAAUUCAUUAUAAUAAAUUUCGAGUAACCUAAAAUAAUAAAAGAAAUCAAUUCUUGAAGAUAAAAAUAAAAUAUAUAUGUUCAUUAUCAACAACAAAUAUAUUAGAGAUUAUAAUAAUAUAAUAAAUCUUCAAAAUGAACAUAUCAAUAGAUUAAAUACAAAUAAUGCUCUUUUCGUUUCAAAAUACUCUUUACACUUUCACUUUCAAUCUAUUCACUCUUUCUACUUAUGUCUUUGAAUAUAACCCCUUAUUAUUUUCAUAUUUCUGCCUUUUAACUAUUGACCUAUAUUUUCUUCUCUCCAAA